GAUGAAGAACGUAGCGAAAUGCGAUAAGUAAUGUGAAUUGCAGAAUUCAGUGAAUCAUCGAAUCUUUGAACGCACAUUGCGCCCGCCAGUAUUCUGGCGGGCAUGCCUGUUCGAGCGCCAUUUCAACCAUCAAGCCCCCCGGCUUGUGUUGGGGACCUGCGGCUGCCGCAGGCCCUGAAAAGCAGUGGCGGGCUAGCUGUCACACCGAGCGUAGUAGAUCUCAUCUCGCUCAGGGCGUGCUGCGGGUUCCGGCCGUUAAACCACCUUCAUAACCCAAGGUUGACCUCGGAUCAGGUAGGAAGACCCGCUGAACUUAAGCAUAUCAAUAAGCGGAGGA
rnacentral:misc_RNA from 1 species